rnacentral:rRNA from 1 species
GUUUCGACUCUGCAUUUAAAUGGACUGCGUAACGGGAGGGUCUUUAUUUCUAUUUCCUGUCAUUCUGAACGCUCCAUUUAAAUGGAGCGCGCAGAGCUGUCGGCCAAGUGGUGACGAUGGGUGCUAGACAAGGCGUGCGUCGGUGUAGCCAAGGGAAGACGCCUCCGGUUGCCUCGUUCAGGGAGAUAGGAACGUCGGUGCUUGACCGAGACCGCCGAAACGACUUCCGGUAGCCAGUAGAGCGGCCGCCCUAAGCACGCCCUGGGUUAAGUCGCAUUCGCCGCCGCGGUUCACGCGUUCAGACUGGAGCUGUAGGUACUUAGUCAAAGCGGUCCCUUCGCUCGAGUCCCCGGGACUAACUUACCUAGGGUUCUAGAGUGGCCGGUGCCAACUCAGUAGUACCAGAUCCAUAGUAGUGGAGGAGAAGUUCAAAUAAGCGAAGAGGGUGAAGUACACGGGUACUCGAGUUCGAGGCGGGGAACGUAGACGUGGGAGGUGUGGGAGGGGGGGCCCCACUGAAAGGAUGAAUAAAAACUAUCUGACUUCCAACAAAGACAGCCGUUCUCACGUAUUUUUUAACACAUAAUACUCAAACCGCAGAAUUGACCCCUCCAUUCAACACUACCCCAUAAAACAAACAGUUCCUUAGCAAGCAAGGACAACAUUACUCUCGUCUUGCUUUAAUGUUACGUACAAUACACUUUAAUUUCACGAAUACCAUUCCAUAAUAUUAUAGUAAUAAACAGGACCCCGCGGACGGUCUUGCGAUCGUACCGGCAUUGGAGUCGUAGAUCCGUCAACGUCCAAAAGAAGUCGAAUAUAUAUCAAACGCAUGAACGAUCUGCCAUUAAAACAACCGAUUCAAGAAGAUGAGAAAGGACUAAAAAUCCCUCUAUGGUUAUGGGUUAAGGUUUCUUUCCAUAAACAGAGGUUGAUCACAACAAAGAACCCCAACAAAAGAAUUUAACUUCGUGACGAGCAAAAAAUCAAGUCAUAAAAACAACAUCCCUAGGUCCACCCCGGAGUGGUAUGUUCAUACUAGAUGAAUGAUACUAGUUACUACUACUUGAGGUAGUUUUGUAUGACAUAAAGGAGACGUCUUAAGGGGAAAACAGUUAGCUGAAAUCAACAUAUCGGACUAACUGGACAGUUUGAGUAACAUAAAAGGAACGGGAAAAGAACCCUUCCGUACCCUCUUUCUAAAACAAGAUCCUAUAUCGAAACAUGGCGUUACGUACUACUCGUUUAGAUUGACGUUUAUGUGAACAUAACAAGUCUUUUCGAGAGACCAAGACAAUGAGUCUCAGCAUGUACGUCUAUCAUCGAGGAGGUUUGUAAUAACAUUACAAUGAUGAAUUACACCUAAGACCUCCACGCCGAUUUUAAAGGAUGAUCUCCGGGGACGCACCGAUGGACCAACGAGGUUAGACGACCGAGUUGUAAACGAACAACUCCCACGACCGAAAAUUAAAAAAACCCAAACAGAACAUUUUGUGACCAGCAAAGAAACUACCUUAAGUGGCUCCGCACGAGUAACAAAUAAAUUCCACACCUAAAUUUCAUCUAUAUGGAGUACAACCUCAACUUCAUUUAGGAAGUACAUGAUUAACAUCUCAAAGGAUAGUCAAAACUCGACGAAAACACGGUGGUGACUAAAGGUGUAUUUUUAAUCCUUUAAUCCACUAAUUAAAAGUCCAUGUUUAAUAUAGUGGUUUCCGUAAGGGUCCUACUAAUCGAAAACAUCAACUCUUUAUCGAUUGAGAGAGGGAACGUUUUCUUUUACUUCGUCAAUCGAGAGUAUACUUGCACACAAAUCUAGAAGAACGAGACAAUACCUAACUAGAUUGAUCUUCGAAGUAUAUCAACUGUCCGGUAACAGAAGUAAACUCUAAGUACUACUAUGAUGAACAAGAUAUGUCUUUUAGGUACACAUAUGUCCAUAACAUAAACGUCAAAAAGGGAAUUUAUAACUAAGAGAAAAGUUAGACUUUUAAGCCAUGAAUUAUAUGAAGAAUCAGGGAAAUAGAACCGUCCCAACAAGACAAGUCUUAUGGUAAAAGAAAAAUCUUACAAUAAGUGAUUUAUUUUUGAAUUAUAUGAAGAAUCAGGGAAAUAGAACCUUAUCCUUUACUUAUACACGACCAAAGAAUAAAUUUUGACGACCCUCAAGUAUAAUGGUUUCGAAGUCUACAGACUGGGUAGUCCACCAUUGACUUAGUUCAUGAAAUCAAACCCGUUAUCUCACAUCUCCCAAGAUGUGUACUUCGUACGUAGUUCCUGACUACGCUCUUUCGUGUACCUCGCAAUAGCACCGUUACAACCGACCCUACGAGUACAGUGGAUGCUCUUGCUCGUGUUGGGGUUGUUUCAGGUCGGCGAACUGAACAACUACGAGCGGUACUUAAGUCUUCGGACUCACUUCGACGGUUAGGGUCUUUUUUCUAUCUUCUUGAGACUUAAAAAUACCGUACCUACCGUGUACAGUAAGUCAACCAGAAACCAAUAAGUCAGACUGUUGUUCUAGACUUACUUAAGAACCAAAGCGAUGGGAUUUUAACAUUGUCCUUCUGUUUCUAAAGUGACGGAAAGAAAAAGUACUACAGAUCACUUAUGAGGUUGAACUAAACCCACGUUACGUAAAUGGAACGUUUAAUAAGACAACUACUUUAGCACGAACAGUUUAAAGGAACAUCUUCAUGUUGACCUUCAAAAAGAACAUUAAACACACACAAGAGUCUUCUAACUCUAUACGAACAGUUAUUCACAGUACAACUCACAUACACUC